AUACCUUUCUCGGCCUUUUGGCUAAGAUCAAGUGUAGUAUCUGUUCUUAUCAGUUUAAUAUCUGAUACGUGGGUCAUCGGCCCACAUGAUAUUAAAUUAAUUUUUUGAGGGGGAGGGCCGUUGGCGGUAGCUUGCUACUGUGGUCACUCGAGCGUCGCCUUGGCGUUGCACCACUGCCCUGGCCUGGCGCGCCCCGC